GGGGGGUGCGUGGCAGAGUUCCUCGAUUCCGCCGGUUCAUCUCCCGGAGCCUUUGAUCUAGGAAAUCUUCUCGACUGCGGGUCUUGAGGGUCUUCUGGCAGAAUGGAGGUAGAGAUCUUCCAGGAGUAGAAUCGUGAUCCGACUGAGGGCUCUCCAACCUUCGAAUUCAUCUUUCCGGGAAAGAUGGGGUAACUGGCCCAAGUGGCCCAUCCUACUGCCAGAUUUUGGAGUUCUAGCGACGCUCUCUCCAGUCGCACUGAUGCCUAUGGUUGCUGCUGCUGCUGUAUGGCCUGCACAACUUCAGUGAGUACUCUUACCUGCUGAACCAGUAGGUCAAAUUGCUCUGCGCCAACCACCAUUGCCGGAGG
rnacentral:lncRNA from 1 species